CAAGAGAAUCGCUUAAGCCCAAGAAUUUUGUCUCAAAAAAAGGGAGAAACGGAUAGCUUUGAAAUCCAAGACUGACAACCGCCAGAAUUGAAGAAUUCCCAACUGAGCUGAACUGGGAAAGGAGCAAGCAAGCGAGGUCUCUGAAAUAAAAGGACAAAUGGCUCUCUCUCCUUCAAAGAUACAUCAGUCUAGAGAAAGAAGGAUCACCUGGAGCGCAUUCCCCUCAAAGUCUUCACCAAGGACCUUGGGAAUUGUAUCUGUGUAAGUGGUUUUUUUUUUUGGCACAGUUUUUGGCCGGGGCUGGAUUUGAACCCGUCAC